rnacentral:rRNA from 1 species
CUGGUUGAUCCUGCCAGUAGUCAUAUGCUUGUCUCAAAGCUUAAGCCAUGCAAGUCUCAGUACGAGCUGACUUAAAGUGAAACCGCAAAAGGCUCAGUAAACCGGUCAUAGUUUA